rnacentral:lncRNA from 1 species
AUGAUCUUGAUGAUGAUUAAAGAAAAGAAAAAGUUGCUUCUCCAACUUGUUGUUGCUUUAGAUCACCAUAAGUAUCUUCAAGCUCCAUCUUGAUCAUCAAAGAAGGCUUGAAAGGUGAAAUGUUUUUGAUGGUGUUCUUGGAUAAUAUAUGAAUGUUGAGAGAGUUUCCUAAGUGUGUGAAAAGAUGGUGAAAAAAAUGAGAUGAAGUGCUUAGAGGAUUAUGAAUCAAAGUGUUAUAAGUCUUCACCAUGCUUUACCACUAGGCCCACUUGUGUAACCACUUGCAUCUAAAGGUAAUUAGCAAGAUAUUUGUGGAGAAAAGGUAAAAAAAGUGGGUCCCACAUGUGGUUGUAACCGUGAAUGAAGUGGGGGGGGGGGUACCAUUGCCUUAUGAAUUUGUUUCAUGACUUUCCUUGUUAAAAAGUGUUAGGAUUAUUCAGGAAAUUGUUUAGGAAAGUUAUAUGUAUAAGUGUUUAAAUGU